rnacentral:piRNA from 1 species
UCCAAGUAACCUCUUGAGUAAAGAGCUUA